CUCAUUUCUUUUGGGGUUUUACCAUGGUUUUGUACAUCAUUUCUUAAAAGGCCACCACUACCUCCUGGUUUGUCUUUCCUUGUAUCUAAACACUGACUUGUUCAAUGAAUCGCAUGACAAGGCAAUGGGAGUUCAAGGCAAUGGGAGUUCAGGCUGAAUGCAGGCUACUGGACAGGCAAUUACAGUGUAAUGCUUCACAUAAAAUACUAUUUAUUUGUUUUACUUUUUCCUGAGCAAAGAUGAACCAGGCGAUUUUCAUUCCUCUGAGAGUGAUUUUGAUUAUGAUUUGAAGCACUCUUCUCAGACACAAUAAAGUGCAAUAAACAGUUCUGAUAUGUUGCCUAGACUGGAGGAAUUGCCUUUGUCUCCAUUUUUAUAGAUUUUGAUCACCUCCAUAUAACAAAGAGAUACCGCCAAACAUCCCUGAUUCUGAAAGGGAUAAAAAUGGCCUUGUUGAGCUCAGAAGGGCAAUGCUAUACUCCAACAGAUAUUACAUCUCCAAAGACUGAAGGGAUAAACACGAAUAUAAAAGAAAUGCACAUUCACAUAUCCCAGCACUGGUAGGUGCAAGUGUCAGUUUGAGCCCAUUCCAAAUAUCCAUGUGCAUGGACAUUUAUCGGGGGGAUCAGGUGAAAGUCUGGACAGGUCUGUUCCUGUAAAUUUAGAGAACAUCUACUAUCAAAUUUGUCUCAUUAUAUAUCUCUUGUAGUUUCCACGACAGUUGCUGAAACAAAUGACAAAUAUUGAUUUCUACAAAGGGAAAGAUUACAGUCUGAAAUGUGACCUGUGUAAGGGAAGAGGAGGUAAUUUGAAAAGGGGGUAACAUGUUACCCCUAAAGAAUGGCUUGCAAGUGCUCAGGGUCUGAGCUCCACUGGGAACUUGAGGAGCUGCCUGGAGUCCUUGUCUGGAGGAGGACCAGUGCACGGCAGGGCAGUUUGCAAAAGUUUUUCAUAGAUAAUGAUGAAGGCACCCUGAAAGAAGAACCUGGGAAAUGGCCCAUCUGAAUAUGUAAUGCCUCCUGAAUCGUGUAGGAGGAGGGAGGAGCCCCAUGCAUAGGAAGCUGUGCACGGCAGCGGUUGGUUGGCAGCUUUCAUUUUCUGGAGCAUUGAAUAGUGGCCAUUCCACAUGCAGAGGCUGUGUGCUGUGUGGAAGUCUUCAACAGCCUGCACAGAAUCGGCAAAGUCCUCUGACAACAUAUGUCAGACAGUUCUUUCAGUUCUUCAGGCCUACAGAGUCUAAGAAUAUGCUCAUUAUUUCAACAUGAAAGCUGCAUUUUACACUCUUUUGGGAAGAAGGUUUUAAAUUGUGCCAUUUUCUGCCAGUGAAGCAUUUACAGAUGACUUGCAAAAUAAGCUCACGGGCAUCUUUUGGAUCUGUCUACUGUGCUGUAAGAAACAUGCCAUAGCUGCUACGUAAAUUACUAAGUUAUUUUCUUCUAACGUCAAAGGUUAGACGUUAAUAUCUCAGUAAAGUUGUUAGAAAGCAAUGAAAGACUGUUAAGGGAAAGACCUUGCUUCAACUUUAUCACAGUUAGCUGAAUAUUCAUAAACUUAUAAUUUGGGAGUAAAAAAAUUGUUUUAGGUUCAAAGUUUGUAGAUAGAUAAAAUGUGAGCACUGAUGUAAAUUCUGUGUAACAGUAUAUUCUUGCAAAGUAUAUUUCUUUCUGGGUCUUGCUUAGAUUAUAAAGAUAGAAAGGACUUGAAUCAGGACAGUAUCUGAACACAGAAGAAUAAGGUAAAUCUUAUUCAGGACAGUACUGUGCUGCAUGCUGCUGACCUCCUCUUCAGAAUUCACACAGUUGGAGGAAUAUCAGACUUGUUUAAAAGUCAGGAUUUUAAACCU
rnacentral:lncRNA from 1 species